GAGUAUGAGGGGGUCUCAGUUGCUUAAGGGCGUGUGCUCCAGGUAAUUUGAUUAAUCUUCUACUUUGCUUAUACUGCAUUUGUAGCACUCAUUAAAUUUUUAUUGGCACAAUUCUGCAAUCAUUUACUAACCCAUAUCCCCUGAUUUCCAUGAAAAGAUUGCCUAUAUUGGGAAAGUAGGACUGGGCCUGUGCUAGUUUUAAAUCUUUGUUUUCUGAAAAGAUUCCCCCCCUCCCAUCCUCCUCCCAAAUAGUCAUUCAUCUGAAUAGCCCUCAACCUCUGCAGGGUGAUUAAAUGCUUUCUGCUAAGGAAACAGGCCUCUCUUUCAUGUUUCCAAAGAGCAAUAGAAAAAAAUUAAAGAUUUUGGGGGAGGGAGAGAAUGACAAAAAACCCCUUUAUCUUCUUUAUAAUUAUGACUUAGAAAAAGACUCAUAAGCUUUUAAAUUGGUAAUAUAUAAUUGGUAUCACCAUUUAGUUUGUGUAUGUAACACCUGAAACCUGGUAGCUGUGUAGUAGACUCUCACUAAGAGAAUAGCAAUUUACUAAUUCCCUUUUAAAGAAUAACAGACAAUUCACAAACACAGCUUUGGCACACUGCUUAAUUCAGUUGCUCCAUGCUUCUAUGAAGGUUUAUUGACUAUAUAAGGAUCAAAUAAGAGGUGAACUGAAAUCAGAAACACAGUAUUCAUUCAUUUAACUCUGCUAUAGUAGAGCAAAUUCAGGGUGACUCAAGGGACACAAUGUCUUGUAAAACAUAUGUACUUAAUAUAAGGGUCAUAAAACUUAUUAAAUUAAAAGCUAGGUUAAAAAUAGGAAGAAAAUUUAUGCUGCUGUCUAAAAUAGCAAUAAUUUCCAUUUGGCCUUUCCCUUUCCAACUAAUAUGGGUUACAGUUUAAAAAAAUAGUCAACUGGUAAAAUAUUCAUUCUUCACAAGUGAAUGCAAGUCACUCUCUACCAGGUGAAUUGUAUGACUAAUAAUACAGCACAAUAAAAGGUGAAGGGGGGUUGCUACCAGCUGGGAGGAUAUAUUGCAUCAUUGCUGACCACACAUGGAAAACUAUCAGCAUCCAUUUAAUAUUUGGGAAGGAAGAGCGGGUUGUGCUUGGCCAACAGGACACAACGGAAAGCUUUUUCAGCCAUGAAUUAAUGACAAGGACAAAAAUUCCCGUUUGUUCCUUCAUGGAGAUGCUCCGUUGCUGCCGGACUCCAGCCAGGCCCCUCUGUCCUCCUGGUACAACUGCUGGGGAUGCAAGAAGCCCCUCUCAGGUGAGUUUCGAAGGGUUAUUCAAACAAGGGCUUUACAGGGGGUGCGAGGAGCCGAGAACCUGCUCCCUGUGUUGUCAGGUGUAGAAAAGGAGAGCUGCUCAGAUUAUCCCCCAGCCCCGCAGGAUGACAGCAGAGUUUAACUCCUUCGAUCAAGAGAAACUUUUUCUAUUAGAGACAUUGGGGGAUGGGAUAAAUUAGUGUUGUGACUUAAAUCCUCUUUUCUAACUGUGAAGAAAUCAAAAUGAUGCUGGUCCAUCCUUGACUCAUAGCGCUAUCCAGACCAUUCCUAGCUGAGAGCCAUCCUAAUGCUUGCUCAAUGGCAUGAGUUAAGGAUGGGCAUGAAAGAUUGGCGUGUGCUGGAAUUUAACCAUUUUUCAGUCCUUCAAGUCUUGAAAACCACAUCAUGUUUUUUUCUAAAUUAAAAAGAAAAAAAAUCCCAUAACAAUGAAUUUUUUUUCUUCUUUGUGACUUCAGUCUUCCAUGUUGACCAAGCUCAUCCUGUUCCCUUGUACUCAUCAGUGUGGGUUGUUUUUUAUCCUGUUCCUUGUCAUCUCUGCUUUGCCCUUUAGAGUAGGUGUUUGUCAGGACAAAGACCAUCUUUCCGGUGUGUUUUUGUGCCAUAGGAUAAUGUACCAGCCUUGAUUCUAGUGUCCUGCCUGCUAUGAGCAUCGCUCUUUUUCUCCACACUGUUUAAACAGUUCUACAUCCAAAUCUGUCACCCAUGACCUCAUUAAGUUGCUUUUAAUCACCCAAGGAUGCCUAUCAGGCCUAACACCAUCAUUUCCUGAGGAAUUUUCCCCUGAUUUACUUAAUAGUUCUAAAGUGCUAAGCGGGAGACCUCCAAGGGGUGUUCCCUGUGAAUGCCGGGUUACUGGCAUUUAUACUGUGUUUUAAAUAAACAGUGUUUUGCAGGCACGCUUGUGUUGAAAAAUAAACUUCUGGGCAGAAGGAGCUUGUUCACAUCAGAGCUGGACUGGUAGCGAUUUGGGUUUCCCCAGCAGAUGGAAAGAGGUCAAGCUUUUGAGGAAAAAUUCAACCUUCCCUAAAUAAUGAGGAUUUCAGACACGCCAGGGAGAAGAAAAGCCUGAAACCGCAGUACCGGCUCCUUCUGGGAGCGCUUGGGAAGGAGGGCAGGACUGCAUGCCUGCAGUGUGUUCCUGGGACACCUCAAAGGGAAAAGAUGGUGCGUGGCACGCUCUCUGAGAAACUUGUUUUAACCCGGCGUGUUCUCUGCUGCACCAAAUCCCUCCUAAUGCCCCCAAACUGUGGAUCUAUGCUUACUGGGAUCUCCAGUGCUGGAAUGGGUGGCUUCGUGUCUUCCUCAGCUCUAGUUGGUGACGUGUGUGGGGAUCUACUGCCCUAAUUCACAUUUUGAGAGGCUUUCAAAGUGGUAGUCAUUGCCCUUUUCUGGGCUGUAGUGCCAACUCAACUGCCUCCUCCACUGAGCAUAAAAAAUGGCCUAACUUCUGGGAUAAAACCGUAAGAGAGCUAGAGAGACUGCUGUUCUCUUAAGCAAGGGUCUUUCACGGGAUUCAAUCUUUUUUUUUUUUUCCACUCUUUCUCUGUAAAUUGUGGCUGUUCUUAGAGAGGUUGAAGGUAGGUUGUCUAAUCAUGGUUGUCCUGUUUCUUUCUAGGACUCCCCUUUCUCCGUAGUUCUCGCCAAUCCUUAGGCUUUGACAGCGAGGAGGCCCCUUAGCGUGCACUGCGAUGGGCUGGCCAAGGGGCGCAAGGCUGGCAGGAACAGGACAGAGUUCCCAGCUAGCCCUAGAGCCAUCGUUGCUGUCUCCCUACUAACACUGGGCUUGAUUUGGGACCUGGAGUUUGAGAAGGAAAGCCUGAGGAAAGUUGGGAAGAGGCAUAUUUGUGAAAUGAUUGAUAAUUACGAAAUGAAGAUCCUUUAAGCUCAAUGUGACCAGGUCUAGCGUGCGUGCAUAGAGGUUUGCUGAAUGGCUUGCUGCCAUUUAGGGGGAAGGAACGUAUGCUUUUAGGGCCGCCUCUACGUCACUGCAAUAACGCUGUAUCCUCAGCCUUCCAUUUGCAAUUCCGUUGAAGGCAGUAAGCUUGGUGUGUGGUCAGUGAACUUAAUGCAGGUAUUUUUCAGAAGGAAACAUUUCUCUACUAGACUGUCUUGCAUGCUGUGCUAUCGUGGCCUGAGAGAACUCAGCCUGAUCUUCAGACUGAGUUGUACCUUGUCCUGAUGUUUUCAGGAGAACAUGUUUGGGUUGACCUUUCAGUCCUGUUGAUGGGAUCACAGCUACUUCACCUACAGCAUAUUCAGUGCUAUUUCUUUUCCUUCUGUCUUAAGGAGGCAGCAGUUGCACCACCAUGAUGGAAUAUGGUAGCGUUCAGCCAUCUGCCCUAUAGCUGUGCUCUCUCGAUGCACGGAGACAACUCAUUACGUAGGGAAGAAGUUCGUAACGGUGGUGCUGUUGGAGCUAGGCGGGUGCCGGGGUGCUUUCAUGCUGAUCAAACCGGAGGCAGUGCGUCAAAAACAAGGUGUUCCAACUUCUGAGAAGGUGGUCCUGUGCGAGUCUGGGGCUGGGCUUCGAUAGGAAUCGUUUGCUCAUGCAGGGCCUGUCCGUGAGGAUGCAGUAGGUACCGCGUAACUGCUCAGCGUGUGGAUGUUUUGCCGAGCACUGGCCCGCACAGCUUGGUGAGAUCCAUCAUACUGAGGGGGACUUUGGGUGGUGGCACGUGGUAAGUAAAUGUAUUUGCUGCUAAGGGUCUCUGAAAGGCACGUAGCCUGGCGUGGGCGUAUGGCGAGGUGAC